rnacentral:rRNA from 1 species
UACAGAGGCCCCAAGCGUUACUGAGAAUCACUGGGUUUAAAGGGUGCGUAGGUGGCGCGUUAAGUCCGUUGUGAAAUCCCUUGGCUCAACCAAGGAAUGGCUUCGGAUACUGGCGUGCUUGAGGCCGGUAAGGGUCACUGGAACUGACGGUGGAGCGGUGAAAUGCGUAGAUAUCGUCAGGAACGCCAAUGGUGAAGACAGGUGACUGGGCCGGUUCUGACACUGAGGCACGAAAGCGUGGGGGAGCGAACGGGG